GUGAAUUAAACAUGCUUGGUGUCUUCGCUUCGGCAAGGCCCUUGCUUAAAUCACAUCCUAACACCUGUGAACUGUAAGACGUAUGAUGAGGUCUUUGGCCAAGUCACCGUCUGCCCAUUUUUAACAAACAAUUAAUGUAACAAACGUAGUCUUAUUAUAACCUAAUA
rnacentral:misc_RNA from 1 species